rnacentral:rRNA from 1 species
UACGUAGGGUGCGAGCGUUAAUCGGAAUUACUGGGCGUAAAGCGUGCGCAGGCGGUUUUGUAAGCCAGAUGUGAAAUCCCCGGGCUCAACCUGGGAAUGGCAUUUGGGACUGCAAGGCUGGAGUACGGCAGAGGAGACUGGAAUUCCUGGUGUAGCAGUGAAAUGCGUAGAUAUCAGGAGGAAUACCGAUGGCGAAGGCAGGUCUCUGGGCUGAUACUGACGCUCAUGCACGAAAGCUAGGGGAGCGAACGGG